rnacentral:rRNA from 1 species
CCUACGGGAGGCUGCAGUGGGGGAUAUUGCACAAUGGGGGAAACCCUGAUGCAGCGACGCCGCGUGGGUGAAGAAGCGCCUCGGCGCGUAAAGCCCUGUCAGCAGGGAAGAAAAUGACGGUACCUGAAGAAGAAGCCCCGGCUAACUACGUGCCAGCAGCCGCGGUAAUACGUAGGGGGCAAGCGUUAUCCGGAUUUACUGGGUGUAAAGGGGGCGCAGACGGCGAUGCAAGCCAGGCGUGAAAGCCCGGGGCCCAACCCCGGGACUGCUCUUGGAACUGCGUGGCUAGAGUGCAGGAGGGGCAGGCGGAAUGCCUGGUGUAGCGGUGAAAUGCGUAGAUAUCAGGAGGAACAGCGGUGGCGAAGGCGGCCUGCUGGACUGCAACUGACGUUGAGGCUCGAAAGCGUGGGGAGCAAACAGGAUUAGAUACCCGAGUAGUC